rnacentral:rRNA from 1 species
AUGGCUCAGGAUGAACGCUAGCUACAGGCUUAACACAUGCAAGUCGCGGGGUAACAUCUGGUAGAGCUUGCUCUUCCAGGAUGACGACCGGCGCACGGGUGAGUAACGCGUAUCCAACCUGGCCCAUACCACGGGAUAGCCCGUCGAAAGGCGGAUUAAUACCGUAUGCUGUCAUUAAGAUGCAUAUAUUGAUGACGAAAGGACUGGCGGUAUGGGAUGGGGAUGCGUCUGAUUAGCUUGUUGGCGGGGUAACGGCCCACCAAGGCGACGAUCAGUAGGGGUUCUGAGAGGAAGGUCCCCCACAUUGGAACUGAGACACGGUCCAAACUCCUACGGGAGGCAGCAGUGAGGAAUAUUGGUCAAUGGGCGCAAGCCUGAACCAGCCAAGUAGCGUGAGGGAAGACUGCCCUACGGGUUGUAAACCUCUUUUGUUUGGGAAUAAAGUGCGGGACGCGUCCCGCAUUGCAUGUACCAUUUGAAUAAGGACCGGCUAAUUCCGUG